AAGAUUGGAUUGAGCUUUGUAUAAAGUAUAGCAUACGUUUGCAAGAAAAUUCGUGUCCUUUACAAUGACAACUGAGCUCACUAUUUAUAGCUAUGAAGAAGGUCCUAGGGUCGUGCCCUUCUUUAAUGUCAAUUAUGAGGGGCAUUGAUGAAGAUAUAACGGUGAACAUAAAUGUCAAAUUCCUUGUAACGGAUAACUGCUCUUAAUACCAUGAAAUAUUCUCUAUUAAAUGCUAUUGGGAGAAGAACAUUUAUCACAUCUUUAUGAACGUUAUUCUUUCCGGUGACAAACGAAACAGUUGCCUUCGGUCUUUAGCCAUCCCCUGUCUUGGGUUCCACAUGUCCCUUUUUCAGACGGCCACGUGUCAUAGCAUAGUUUAACCUAUACAUGUGUAAAUAAAUUAGAAAGAAAGGAUGAUGAAUUCACCAUUUUUUGCUAGGAGAAAAUAUUCGUUUAAAAAAUAAACUAUAUAACAUACCGUCCCAACCUUUUGAAAAUGAUUAAAAGUACUCUAAUGAUAAUCAAAACAAAGGAAAAGCCCAAAAUAUCAGCAAGGAGAUCCCAAAUCAGCCUAUAGCCCUUUUUCAAAAGAUUCGACAGUGAAAAAUAAGGAAGGAAAGCCCAGAAGAAAGUUUAGAAACUCACCAAGAGCUAGAGAGAUGAUCGCGAAGAAAGUGAAUUACGGAGAGCUUCUUAAACUCUCAAGCUGUACAAUGCAUUGCUGGAAGAAUUAUACCCAAAUGGUACUGUGUCCAUCUAAUGGGAUACACGUGGUUUGGCGUAAGAUACACGCCUGAAGAAGAAGACUAAAGAAAUUCAAUUAACAAUGAAAUGGGUCUAAAACCAAAUAGGAAUUAGGAUCUAUCAAAAUAACAUCACCAAGAAAUAGGUGCAACAAAGAAAGAAGGAGAAUGGAGUAAAAUCCAACAGAAAUCGCAAUUACACUGUACAAUAAAGUUAACGCCAUAAUCAC
rnacentral:lncRNA from 1 species